rnacentral:rRNA from 1 species
GACGAACGCUGGCGGCGUGCCUAAUACAUGCCAGUUGAGCGCUGAAGGUUGGUACUUGUACCUACUGGAUGAGCAGCGAACGGGUGAGUAACGCGUGGGGAAUCUGCCUUUGAGCGUGGGACAACUUCUGGAAACGAAUGCUAAUACCGCAUAAUAUCUUUAAACACAAGUUUUAAGAUUGAAAGAUGCAAUUGCAUCACUCAAAGAUGAUCCCGCGUUGUAUUAGCUAGUUGGUGAGGUAAAGGCUCACCAAGGCGAAGAUACAUAGACGACCUGAGAGGGUGAUAGGCCACAUUGGGACUGAGACACGGCCCAAACUCCUCCGGGAGGCAGCAGAAGGGAAUAUUCGGCAAAAGGCGAAAGUCUGACAGAGCAACGCGGCGUGAGUGAAGAAGGGUUUCGGAUCGUAAAAAUCUGUUGGUAGAGAAGAACGUAAGUGAGAGUGGAAAGAUCAUCAAGUGACGGUAACUAACCAGAAAGGCACGGCUAACUACGUG